GAUGAACGCUGGCGGCGUGCCUAAUACAUGCCAGUCGAGCGAACAGACGAGGAGCUUGCUCCUCUGACGUUAGCGGCGGACGGGUGAGUAACACGUGGAUAACCUACCUAUAAGACUGGGAUAACUUCGGGAAACCGGAGCUAAUACCGGAUAAUAUAUUGAACCGCAUGUUUCAAUAGUGAACGACGGUUUUGCUGUCACUUAUAGAUGGAUCCGCGCCGCAUUAGCUAGUUGGUAAGGUAACGGCUUACCAAGGCAACGAUGCGUAGCCGACCUGAGAGGGUGAUCGGCCACACUGGAACUGAGACACGGUCCAGACUCCUACGGGAGGCAGCAGUAGGGAAUCUUCCGCAAUGGGCGAAAGCCUAACGGAGCAACGCCGCGUGAGUGAUGAAGGUCUUCGGAUCGUAAAACUCUGUUAUUAGGGAAGAACAAAUGUGUAAGUAACUAUGCACGUCUUGACGGUACCUAAUCAGAAAGCCACGGCUAACUACGUG
rnacentral:rRNA from 1 species